AGUUUUUUUAAGUAUGAAAGGUACCUGGCCAGGCACAAAAACUUUCCCAUCAUAUUCAACCGGAUCAAAUGGACUUCCACUAGCAAAGAUCGCCCGGCCCUGCAGGACUUGGACUGUACCUGGCUCCAUGUAUAAGCCUCUUCAGCUGUACACUCCGACUGUGAUGUAGGAUUCGAGAGAGCAAGGAUCAGUGGUUUCUGCAUAGUAAUCGAGACUCGAGUUAAACUUAAAUAACUUCUUGUCUUAGAAUUGAGGAAUGGAGAAGUUAGAGGGGACAAGGAAGAACCUCAUUGAUGGAUGCCAUGGCCUCCACAACUUCCUUUGUAAAUGUCUUCCCAACACCAGAUGUUCCUAUCAACACAGUUGGCCUGAUUGCCUAUAUAAUUUGAAGUUUUAA